rnacentral:rRNA from 1 species
UAUCACUAAGCGGAGGAAAAGAAACUAAUUAGGAUUUCCAUAGUAACGGCGAGUGAACUGGAAAGAGCCCAGAUUGGAAAUCGGGGUGCUUGCGCUCCGAAUUGUAGUCUGAAGAAGCUUCCUCUGUGGCGGACCGGGCCGAAGUUCCUUGGAAAAGGAUGCCGGAGAGGGUGAGAGCCCCGUCCGGCCCGGAACUUGCUGCGUGACGAGGUGCUAUCAAAGAGUCGGGCUGUUUGGGAAUGCAGCCUUAAGCGGGUGGUAAAUCCCAUCCAAGGCUAAAUACGGACAAGAGACCGAUAGCAAACAAGUACCGCGAGGGAAAGAUGAAAAGGACUUUGAAAAGAGAGUUAAAAGUGCUUGAAAUUGCUGGGAGGGAAGCGAAUGGAUGCCCAGGGUGCGGCCCGGUUGUUGGUGGAACGGUCACUUGUGGCUGGUCCACCGCCCAACCGUGUCGCUGGCCAGCGUCGGCAGUUGUGGCGGGAUAACGGGCCGGGUUCGCCUGGUACCUAUGCCGUUGCGGCUGCCGGGGACUUUGGGAUGCGCCCUCGUGGCGGGCAGCCUCGCGCUGCACCUGCAUCCCAGGGAUGCUGGCCGUCAGGGCUCUCCAUCCGACCCGUCUUGAAACACGGACCAAGGAGUCUAACAUGCAUGCGAGUCGGUGGGUUGGAAACCCACGAGGCGCAAGGAAACUGAGUCGUGGGAUCCCCCUUGCGGGGUGCACCACGGGCCGACCAUGAUCUUCUGUGAAAGGUUUGAGUGUGAGCAUGCAUGCUGGGACCCGAAAGAUGGUGAACUAUGCCUGAGCAGGGCGAAGCCAGGGGAAACUCUGGUGGAGGCUCGUAGCGAUACUGACGUGCAAAUCGUUCGUCAGACUUGGGUAUAGGGGCGAAAGACUAAUCGAACCAUCUAGUAGCUGGUUCCCUCCGAAGUUUCCCUCAGGAUAGCUGGAGCUCGUUUGAGUUUUAUCAGGUAAAGCGAAUGAUUAGAGGCCUCGGGGAUAAAACAUCCUCGACCUAUUCUCAAACUUUAAAUGGGUAAAGUGCCGCGGCUUGCUUCGUUGAAGCCCG